GAAAGAUCCAUUAAAUUAAAUUAUCACUUAUGGUUUUAACAAAAUUAGAGAUUAAACAAUUCUGCUUUUUAUUUUAUAUAGUAACAAACAUAUACUAUAGCUAGUAAGUAAGAUCAAGAUUCUAUUAUUUUUUUUUAGUGUUUUCCUAUGAGCUAUCAGAUCACUAGCUUAAUUUUUUUACGUUACUCUGACGCUUAAAAAAAUUUCAUCACUAGUAUCGAUCUGAUCAUCCAAAAAUUCACUACUUUUGGAGGAUCUAGACAUGCUAGUUGGCGUUCUUAAAAAAUCCGAAUUAAAUUGAUAAUAAAUCUUGAUGUCAUAUAUGAUCACACCUUUAUACAAGAACGAUCUAAUAAUAUUUCAGGAUAUCAAAAAAAUUGGAGAAAAGUUAAUUAGCUAGCUGAAAACAUUAUUAUAAAAAUACCUCAACACUGGCCAUUGGAAGAAAGUUGGAAAAUAAGAAGAUGGGAAAGAGGAAAAUAAAUUAAGAAAUGGAAGGGGGCAAAAUAUUUGUAA
rnacentral:misc_RNA from 1 species